rnacentral:rRNA from 1 species
GAUCCUGGCUCGAUUGAACGCUGGCGGCAGGCUUAACACAUGCAAGUCGAGCGGGGGAAGGUAGCUUGCUACUGGACCUAGCGGCGGACGGGUGAGUAAUGCUUAGGAAUCUGCCUAUUAGUGGGGGACAACAUCUCGAAAGGGAUGCUAAUACCGCAUACGUCCUACGGGAGAAAGCAGGGGAUCUUCGGACCUUGCGCUAAUAAUGAGCCUAAGUCGGAUUAGCUAGUUGGUGGGGUAAAGGCCUACCAAGGCGACGAUCUGUAGCGGGUCUGAGAGGAUGAUCCGCCACACUGGGACUGAGACACGGCCCAGACUCCUACGGGAGGCAGCAGUGGGGAAUAUUGGACAAUGGGGGGAACCCUGAUCCAGCCAUGCCGCGUGUGUGAAGAAGGCCUUAUGGUUGUAAAGCACUUUAAGCGAGGAGGAGGCUACUUUAGUUAAUACCUAGAGAUAGUGGACGUUACUCGCAGAAUAAGCACCGGCUAACUCUGUGCCAGCAGCCGCGGUAAUACAGAGGGUGCGAGCGUUAAUCGGAUUUACUGGGCGUAAAGCGUGCGUAGGCGGCUUAUUAAGUCGGAUGUGAAAUCCCCGAGCUUAACUUGGGAAUUGCAUUCGAUACUGGUGAGCUAGAGUAUGGGAGAGGAUGGUAGAAUUCCAGGUGUAGCGGUGAAAUGCGUAGAGAUCUGGAGGAAUACCGAUGGCGAAGGCAGCCAUCUGGCCUAAUACUGACGCUGAGGUACGAAAGCAUGGGGAGCAAACAGGAUUAGAUACCCUGGUAGUCCAUGCCGUAAACGAUGUCUACUAGCCGUUGGGGCCUUUGAGGCUUUAGUGGCGCAGCUAACGCGAUAAGUAGACCGCCUGGGGAGUACGGUCGCAAGACUAAAACUCAAAUGAAUUGACGGGGGCCCGCACAAGCGGUGGAGCAUGUGGUUUAAUUCGAUGCAACGCGAAGAACCUUACCUGGCCUUGACAUACUAGAAACUUUCCAGAGAUGGAUUGGUGCCUUCGGGAAUCUAGAUACAGGUGCUGCAUGGCUGUCGUCAGCUCGUGUCGUGAGAUGUUGGGUUAAGUCCCGCAACGAGCGCAACCCUUUUCCUUACUUGCCAGCAUUUCGGAUGGGAACUUUAAGGAUACUGCCAGUGACAAACUGGAGGAAGGCGGGGCGACGUCAAGUCAUAUGGCCUUACGGCCA